rnacentral:rRNA from 1 species
AUGUCGACCGAUGCAGACCGUGACGCCGCUGAGAAGGCCGAGGCCGACAAGAAGGCCGCUGAGGAUGCCGCGGCUGCUGCCACCGCCACCGCUGCCACAUGGCCGAUUGGAGGGUAUACAUCGCUUAUCCCUCUCGUGUUUCUUUCUGUUGUAGCAGCGAAAAAUAUGUGGACUGCUUUGGCGGAGCAGAGGCAGAGCCACACGAGGCUCAUCGUGUCGACCGUGGAGGCCAGGGCGGCGAAGCGGCUCAAGGCCAAGGACGAGGAGAUUGAGCGGAUCAGGAUCAUGAACUGGGCGCUCGAGGAGCGCCUUCAGAACCUCUUCAUGGAGGCUCAGAUGUGGCGCGACGUCGCGCAGUCCAAUGAGGCCACGACCAACGUGCCCCGCCGGGACCGGCAGCGGGCGCUCGACUCCCAGGCGAUCCGUGGCGGGGAAGGAGGAGGUGGGCACACUGGUAAAGGAGCCUCCAACGACAGGAGCAGGAAGGUGCAAGGGGUGCCGCGAGGGCGCGGCCGUUGUGCUGCUGCUGCCGUGUCGGCACCUCUGCGUGUGCGCGCCGUGCGCUGCCGUGGCGCAGGCGUGCCCGGCGUGCGGACGCGCCAAGAAUGGCAGCGUCUGCGUCAACUUUUCGUGAUGCGGGAGGAAUAG